CAUAGGUUAAGAAAAACAUACCACUAGAUUUGCAGCUUUCUGUAGUGAGUCCAGAUCAACUCAGGAAGUGACUGAUCGUUAUGAGCUCAGGUAGGUAAAUCGAGCCACAACUGAUAUAUGGCAAUUUUAUUUGAUAUAGUAUACCUUCUACCUUCACCACAGACUAGGGCAGAGGCUCCCACUCCACAGGUAAGUCUGUCUAACCUCCUCCUCCUCUUGAACAUAUAAAAAGUGUAUUUUAUUUUAAUAAAAUGCGGCACAGCAGAAAUAGAGCAGAAAAUAAAUGACAACUCUUUUUGUGACUAAUGUGGAAUUUAGUGGGUUCCAUUACAGAAUCUGAAUACUUGUGUAGCAUGGCCUCACUAGAACACAUUUUCCGUACGUGGGGGACACCUUCCUUAUCAUUUCCAACAAGCAUGGCUUGUUAUGAGCAGUUUUAAUUAACCCCUUAAGGACAUAUGACAUGUGUGACAUGUCAUGAUUCCCUUUUAUUCCAGAAGUUUGGUCCUUAAGGGGUUAAAGAAACUCUGUACACCAAAACAACUUUAUCUUAAUCAAUCCGUUUUGGUGUAUAGACCAUGCGCCUGCAGUCUCACUACUCUGCCAUUUAGGAGUUAAAUCACUUUGUUUCUGUUUAUACAACCCUAGCCACACCUCUCCUGGCUGUGACUAAUUUUGAUAUACUACACAAUAAGUCUUUUCCUGCUUUAUCUCUCCUACAUAUAUUGGACAUCAACUAUAGCAAAGCUCCAGAUAUCCUCUGAUUGUACCGUCCAGGCGACAUACAGGGUAUGUGGAACUUUGCUACAGUUGACGUCCAAUAUAUGUAGGAGAGAUAAAGCAGGAAAAGUCUUAUUGUGUAGUAUAUCAAUACAAAAGGUAGGUGCUAAAGUGCUAUCUUACUUAACGUUUCCAAUGACUUACUCUGGUUGGAAAAGCGUUGGUGCUAUUAUCCACACUUGGGAUUUGUAGGAUGCUUGUAAAUCAGGAAAUAUGAUGACUUGUAUAAAACUAUUUUCCUGGCUAAUCAUGGCAGCAUAUACACAUGGGUUAGCUCCUCCCCUUACAGCCGAUAGGACAGGAAAACCACCAAGGUUUUAAAAGGAGGCUCCAUCCCUAAGGUCCUCAGUCUUUUUCCUGUCCUACAGCCCUUAGGACGUGAGCAAUUUGCUCCCUUUACUUACGGACAUGUAUGUUGUUUUAUCUUCAUUACUUUAUUUGCCUGUUUUACUGUAGUACAUUAUGCAGUUGUGCUUUUAUGUUGUGAUGCAUUUAAGCUUUGAUAUCUUUAAUCCUUUAAGGACCAAACUUGUGGAAUGAAAGGGAACCAUGACAUGUCAUGUGUCCUUAAGGGGUUAAACUAGUGCAUUAUACAGCUGUACCUUAUUUUUAGGAUUGUGGUACAUUAUGCGAUUGUGCUUUUGCUAGGAAGCAUUUAAGCUGUGUGGCAUUUAAAACUUUCAUUUAAAUUUGCAUUUAAUAUUGUACUGUAAUACCGCAAGUCAUUGGAAACCGCAGUACAUUUGGAAAACUGCAGUGCAUUUGAAGACUGAUAUAAUUUUAAAAACUGUUACAUUUUUGGAAACUGUGGAUUUGAAAACUGUGUUACCUUUUAUACAUUGAGGCCUUUAGACUGUGGUGCCUUUAAACUUUGACUUUUUGCACCUGGUUGCCAUUUAAACUUCCUUGCAGGCACUUUUGUUCUCUAUUUUGCUUCCCCCUCGGUCCCAGUGAUUUAUUCCCGGUCACUGGGUGUUUAGGGGCCAUGUAGGCUUCAGACAGAGUCCUCUCCCUGGUCUCUAACAGCAAACACACUCGGAAUAGGCCCACAUGUGCAGUUUGUGCCUUAUUGGGUCUAAUACAGAUGACUUGCAUUGUGGGAAUACAAGUUGUGGCAGCCAUCUUGGAUAAGGGCAAUUGCCCGAAAGUGCCUAAAAUAAAGGGAAAAUUACAGUAACCAUACACUUAUUGGGUAAGUUUUUGCAGGGUCUCCAGACAUGGAUAAGUGCUGUCUUCAGACUGUUUUAAAGCUGUUUCGCUGGUUUCUUAUAGAAUUUAACAGUGCACAUUUUUUCUUAAUACUUUACCACAGGUAAUAUUUAGUUAUUAUUAUUUGUCAGAUGUCUGAUUCUUCACCAGGAUCUGGUUAUGAGGAGAAAACAGUGGAAGGAAUCGGUUAUGCACUGACUGCCUCCAGAAGGUUGUCGCUUCAGCAUGACCUAUCACUGUGCAGCCACAUGACAUGCGGACAGGGCUUACAAAGUAAGUUCCAGAGGCCUUAGGGGUAAGAAAAGAGGCCAGGCUUUACCCUGUGGAGGACGUUAUUUACAACCCCAGAACUACACC
rnacentral:lncRNA from 1 species